AGAGUUUGAUCAUGGCUCAGGACGAACGCUGGCGGCGUGCUUAACACAUGCAAGUCGAACGGAAAGGCCCUUCGGGGUACUCGAGUGGCGAACGGGUGAGUAACACGUGGGUGAUCUGCCCUGCACUUCGGGAUAAGCCUGGGAAACUGGGUCUAAUACCGGAUACACCUCAUGGACUGCAUGGUCUGUGGGGGAAAGCUUUUGCGGUGUGGGAUGGGCCCGCGGCCUAUCAGCUUGUUGGUGGGGUGAUGGCCUACCAAGGCGACGACGGGUAGCCGGCCUGAGAGGGUGACCGGCCACACUGGGACUGAGAUACGGCCCAGACUCCUACGGGAGGCAGCAGUGGGGAAUAUUGCACAAUGGGCGCAAGCCUGAUGCAGCGACGCCGCGUGGGGGAUGACGGCCUUCGGGUUGUAAACCCCUUUCAGCACAGACGAAGCGCAAGUGACGGUAUGUGCAGAAGAAGGACCGGCCAACUACGUUGCCAGCAGCCGCGGUA
rnacentral:rRNA from 1 species